GUGCUCACGUUGGUAGCACAUACGCUAAAACUGGAACCAUACAGAGAAGAUUAGCAUGGCCGCUGUGCAAGGAUGACCCAAAAAUUCACGAAGAAGCAUUUCUUUCU
ensembl:snRNA U6 U6 spliceosomal RNA